CAUCCCAGAGGCACUUUAACCAAACCCUGGAGAGAGAAGAAAUAAGUAUAUUACUGUGUCGUCUUUGCACAGCAAGAACUUAGCAUCAUCCUCUUGUAUUUUGGAUUUUGUUUCCUAUUUCCUCAGUUUAAUCUUCUCAGCCAUAGGUCAUAAAGAUGGCGAUGGUUAUUUCCUUCCUCAUACCCAUGGUUUGUUACAAUGUGACUUUGCGGUUCUUCCCAUCAGUAAACAGAAGCCAUUUUCUUACUCCUUGCCUCUGGAUGGGCCUUGUGGCUUGCUUUGAGCAAUAGAACGCAUCAGAAGGUGACCUCAUGCCAGUUUCAUGCCUUGGCUUCAGGAGGCCUUGAAUUCUCUGCUGCUCCUUAGGAAUCUUCUGAGCCACUGCUUAACAAGCUCCAACCUCUCCAGCUGGAAGAUGAGGCAUAAUACAGAGGAGAGGCAAACUGUCCUAAAGAGACUACCCUAAGCCAACCAGUCCAGAUGACAGGAGGUUGACCUUGACACAUGUGUAAGCCCAGCCAAGGUCAGCCAAACCUAGUACAGAUCAGAAAAACCAUCUAUCAAUGCUCAGCCCAAAUUUCCAACCCACAGAAAUAUGAAUUAAAUAAAUGAUUGUUGUUUAAACCAUCUUGAUUUUGAGAUGCUCACACGACUGACAGCUGAUUGAACUGCCAUCUGGCUACUUACCAGGUUUAAAAAUCACAAUUAUGUCUGCAUAUGCACACAAUGCUAACUCUUUUGGAUGGGCCUUUUCUCAUAGGAUUCUCUUUCUCAAACACAGUUGAAUUAUCUUUUUAUUAUGUUUUCUCCAUCCAGUUUCUAAUUGUGGGAUCUUAUUUGUGGGAUCUAAAAAAUUGAACUCAUGGACAUAGAGAGCAGAAUGAUGGUUACCAGAGGCUGGGAAGGGUAGUGGGGGGAUGUGAGGCAGUAGGGAUAAUGAAUGGGUAUAAAAAAUAAAAAGAAUGAAUAAGACCUACUAUUUGAUAGCACAACAGGGUAGCUGCAGUCAAUACUAAUUUAGUUGUACAUUUUAAAAUAACUAAAAGAGUGUAAUGGGAUUGUUUGUAAAACAAAGGAUAAAUGCUUGAGGGGGUGGAUACCCCAUUUUCCAUGAUGUGAUUAUUUUACAAUGCAUGCCUGUUUCAAAACAUCUCAUGUACCCUGUAA
rnacentral:lncRNA from 10 species